rnacentral:lncRNA from 1 species
UCUCAUCGGAAUAUACCGAUCCGCCGCUACCACAUCACCGAAAAAUUCAUAAAAAUGAUGGCCAAGCCUGUCCUUCACCAGAUCUACAAAAUCAGCAAACCACCGACUAAAAUUCAACUCUUGCGAUCGAUUUUGGCUAAUACUCGCCGGUAAAACACCAUUGAUGCCCCUGCCGGUCACUAUCACGAUGAAAUCCGUCGGAUAGACCCUCCUUCCGUUGAAAAUCCAUCGAGAAAGGCUAAAAUCAGUGGGUCCAAUCGAAGUCACCAGCCCACCCAUCGCCGAAAAAGGCAUCCCUUGGCUGAAAAAACACCAAAAAAAUUACAAACCACCAAAACAACAAAAACAAAGAAGAAAGCAAUACGGAAAAAAAAUUAUAUGAAAAGAAGAGAUACAAAUACUAUGGAGCACAAUGUUUAUCAACAGAUUGAGAGAUAAAAGCGAAACUUGAAAAGAAAAAUAGAUUCUCCACAACUAAACCUAUGGUCAAGUUGAUAGUAUUCAAUUUAAGGAGAAUAACACCAAAAAGAUGAGCAGGCUCGAGCAGGAAGACAACCAGCUUGAUUAAUGAGUUCAACACCCCCAAAUUCAGCGAAAGACUAAUUUCAGCAACAUGUUAUUUGUUUCCCAGUAAUUCAUAUAUGCAUAUACAAUUACAGAUACAGAGUAGGUUCAAGGUUUCUGGAGAAGGCAACCUUACUUCAAUUUACACAAGGAGGAUUAGGAGACGAUGACCAGUGACCUAUAGAAGACAUAUUCAUCUCAAUUUCAUAUUAUUUUGUCCACAAACUUAAGAUGAAUUCCAUCUCUUCUUCAUUUAUCUUCUGCAUAAAUUGUCAUUUUAGGGAGACAACACUGAACUAUCGAAGGAACAUGGACCUUAUAUUUUUAACAUACUGAAUAAUCUAAUGAAUCAAAAGCAAAGCUUUAAUUAAUUUGUGAACACUGAAGAACUAUAUGACAUGAUAAAAGCUUCUUUUCUUAGUGUAUUCUUUGCACUAAUACAAUCUUAAGUGUUUCACGUCCUUUCUACUUAUUCACAUAAAAAGAGCAGUUUUCAUUGAUAUCAUAUAUCUAAAGACAAUAGACCCAUUCAAAUCUAGUUGGAAUUACACAUAAAACUAUGCCUCUCCUUUUAAUUGUGUCAACGUCAAAUGCUAAAAAGCAGAUAAUGGGGUGUCAAAAGAGAGAUACCAAAUAGAAAAAUCCUUUUUAAUGUAUAUUAGAUUAUUGUACAAUUAGCUUGACACUAAAAAAAUGAGAUGAAUCAAGUCUCCCCUUGAGCGAACGUAUUCCAUAUACAAAAUAAAUAAGUAAGAACGUCCUAUCUCUUAUCAACUUUGGUUUAAAGAUGUUGUGGUAACUUAAUUCAAGACAUUUUCUUUCAGAGCCGUGUGAUGAACAUGAUGGUAAGGUCAAAUUCCGGACUUAAUGUGCAAUCGAAACACAUCUAACAAAGCAAAUCAAAAUUUGAAAUUAAAAAUCAUGUAGAAAAUCAACCAAAAUUAACAGAUCUACAACAGAUCUCAAGAAAUUCUAUGUAAUCAACAACAACAAAAAAAAAUUCAAAAUGUAGAAGAAUGUGGAAAAAGAAUGCCGAAAAUAAAUUACAAAAAAAAUUAUAUAAAAAAAAUAACAUGCAUAAACUGUAAAAAUCAACUUACCUGAAUAGAUGGGGACAAUGUUAUCAAGAAUUGGAGAGAAAAAAAUAAAAUUUGAAAAAAAAUAGCCGAAGAAAG